CAGACCUGGAGAGAGGGAAGACAUGGAAGCCCUCUCUGCUCUCUGCAGUGGCAUCGUGAGGCGUGGUCUCUGAAUAACAGAAGAUCUUCUUCAGAAACCUCAAGCUCCGAUGAUGCCUUCAGAUCCAUGAGGAUGGAGUGUGAAAUUCCAUGAAUAUCGAGUCUAUUUUCUGGACCCCAGAAGCUGUGCGUCUUCCUCUCUGUCGGGCUCAUUCUGAAGCACAGUC
rnacentral:lncRNA from 1 species